GGGUUGUGAGGUUAAGCGACUAAGCGUACACGGUGGAUGCCCUGGCAGUCAGAGGCGAUGAAGGACGUGCUAAUCUGCGAUAAGCGUCGGUGAGGUGAUAUGAACCGUUAUAACCGGCGAUUUCCGAAUGGGGAAACCCAGUGUGUUUCGACACACUAUCAUUAACUGAAUCCAUAGGUUAAUGAGGCGAACCGGGGGAACUGAAACAUCUAAGUACCCCGAGGAAAAGAAAUCAACCGAGAUUCCCCCAGUAGCGGCGAGCGAACGGGGAGGAGCCCAGAGCCUGAAUCAGUGUGUGUGUUAGUGGAAGCGUCUGGAAAGGCGUGCGAUACAGGGUGACAGCCCCGUACACAAAAAUGCACAUAUUGUGAGCUCGAUGAGUAGGGCGGGACACGUGGUAUCCUGUCUGAAUAUGGGGGGACCAUCCUCCAAGGCUAAAUACUCCUGACUGACCGAUAGUGAACCAGUACCGUGAGGGAAAGGCGAAAAGAACCCCGGCGAGGGGAGUGAAAAAGAACCUGAAACCGUGUACGUACAAGCAGUGGGAGCCUCUUAAUGGGGUGACUGCGUACCUUUUGUAUAAUGGGUCAGCGACUUAUAUUCUGUAGCAAGGUUAACCGAAUAGGGGAGCCGAAGGGAAACCGAGUCUUAACUGGGCGUUAAGUUGCAGGGUAUAGACCCGAAACCCGGUGAUCUAGCCAUGGGCAGGUUGAAGGUUGGGUAACACUAACUGGAGGACCGAACCGACUAAUGUUGAAAAAUUAGCGGAUGACUUGUGGCUGGGGGUGAAAGGCCAAUCAAACCGGGAGAUAGCUGGUUCUCCCCGAAAGCUAUUUAGGUAGCGCCUCGUGAAUUCAUCUCCGGGGUAGAGCACUGUUUCGGCAAGGGGGUCAUCCCGACUUACCAACCCGAUGCAAACUGCGAAUACCGGAGAAUGUUAUCACGGGAGACACACGGCGGGUGCUAACGUCCGUCGUGAAGAGGGAAACAACCCAGACCGCCAGCUAAGGUCCCAAAGUCAUGGUUAAGUGGGAAACGAUGUGGGAAGGCCCAGACAGCCAGGAUGUUGGCUUAGAAGCAGCCAUCAUUUAAAGAAAGCGUAAUAGCUCACUGGUCGAGUCGGCCUGCGCGGAAGAUGUAACGGGGCUAAACCAUGCACCGAAGCUGCGGCAGCGACACUAUGUGUUGUUGGGUAGGGGAGCGUUCUGUAAGCCUGUGAAGGUGGCCUGUGAGGGUUGCUGGAGGUAUCAGAAGUGCGAAUGCUGACAUAAGUAACGAUAAAGCGGGUGAAAAGCCCGCUCGCCGGAAGACCAAGGGUUCCUGUCCAACGUUAAUCGGGGCAGGGUGAGUCGACCCCUAAGGCGAGGCCGAAAGGCGUAGUCGAUGGGAAACAGGUUAAUAUUCCUGUACUUGGUGUUACUGCGAAGGGGGGACGGAGAAGGCUAUGUUGGCCGGGCGACGGUUGUCCCGGUUUAAGCGUGUAGGCUGGUUUUCCAGGCAAAUCCGGAAAACCAAGGCUGAGGCGUGAUGACGAGGCACUACGGUGCUGAAGCGACAAAUGCCCUGCUUCCAGGAAAAGCCUCUAAGCAUCAGGUAACAUCAAAUCGUACCCCAAACCGACACAGGUGGUCAGGUAGAGAAUACCAAGGCGCUUGAGAGAACUCGGGUGAAGGAACUAGGCAAAAUGGUGCCGUAACUUCGGGAGAAGGCACGCUGAUAUGUAGGUGAAGCGACUUGCUCGUGGAGCUGAAAUCAGUCGAAGAUACCAGCUGGCUGCAACUGUUUAUUAAAAACACAGCACUGUGCAAACACGAAAGUGGACGUAUACGGUGUGACGCCUGCCCGGUGCCGGAAGGUUAAUUGAUGGGGUUAGCGGCAACGCGAAGCUCUUGAUCGAAGCCCCGGUAAACGGCGGCCGUAACUAUAACGGUCCUAAGGUAGCGAAAUUCCUUGUCGGGUAAGUUCCGACCUGCACGAAUGGCGUAAUGAUGGCCAGGCUGUCUCCACCCGAGACUCAGUGAAAUUGAACUCGCUGUGAAGAUGCAGUGUACCCGCGGCAAGACGGAAAGACCCCGUGAACCUUUACUAUAGCUUGACACUGAACAUUGAGCCUUGAUGUGUAGGAUAGGUGGGAGGCUUUGAAGUGUGGACGCCAGUCUGCAUGGAGCCGACCUUGAAAUACCACCCUUUAAUGUUUGAUGUUCUAACGUUGGCCCGUAAUCCGGGUUGCGGACAGUGUCUGGUGGGUAGUUUGACUGGGGCGGUCUCCUCCUAAAGAGUAACGGAGGAGCACGAAGGUUGGCUAAUCCUGGUCGGACAUCAGGAGGUUAGUGCAAUGGCAUAAGCCAGCUUGACUGCGAGCGUGACGGCGCGAGCAGGUGCGAAAGCAGGUCAUAGUGAUCCGGUGGUUCUGAAUGGAAGGGCCAUCGCUCAACGGAUAAAAGGUACUCCGGGGAUAACAGGCUGAUACCGCCCAAGAGUUCAUAUCGACGGCGGUGUUUGGCACCUCGAUGUCGGCUCAUCACAUCCUGGGGCUGAAGUAGGUCCCAAGGGUAUGGCUGUUCGCCAUUUAAAGUGGUACGCGAGCUGGGUUUAGAACGUCGUGAGACAGUUCGGUCCCUAUCUGCCGUGGGCGCUGGAGAACUGAGGGGGGCUGCUCCUAGUACGAGAGGACCGGAGUGGACGCAUCACUGGUGUUCGGGUUGUCAUGCCAAUGGCACUGCCCGGUAGCUAAAUGCGGAAGAGAUAAGUGCUGAAAGCAUCUAAGCACGAAACUUGCCCCGAGAUGAGUUCUCCCUGACUCCUUGAGGGUCCUGAAGGAACGUUGAAGACGACGACGUUGAUAGGCCGGGUGUGUAAGCGCAGCGAUGCGUUGAGCUAACCGGUACUAAUGAACCGUGAGGCUUAACCUUACAACGCCGAAG
rnacentral:rRNA from 1 species